GGGUUGUUUCAAGGAAUGAAAAGAAAUUAUUGAUGAGUUUAGGUUUGGUCUUAUUCCCACUUUUAACAUUUCAAUUCAUAUUCAGUCAUUUAUGUACAUAACUUUGUUUCAGCAGCAUGUGAAAACUGAUUUGUUAUUUCUUCUUUUCACCAAGGAUUGCUUAUUUUUAGCAAGGGGAGAAGUUAUUCUUCAUUUUUUCAAAGAGCUUUAAUAGUGUCUGUGUAUCUUUCUUUUGAAGGCCUCCAGCUCCCCUCAAACACCUUUGUUUUCUGUUUUGCAUGAUAACCAGAGGAGGCUGUCAAGAAAGAUGUCUGUGAGUAGUCCACCAAAGGGACUGAACAUUUGCAGCAAGGAAAGCAGAGACCUGGGAGGACCAAAUGCAGACAAGCCUUCUGUGAGGAUGAGCAAGCAGUUCUGAGCAAGGAGCAGGGAAAUAAAGGAAAGAGGGACUCUAAGUUGUUGAACUUGGCUGCAGCACUGCAGGAUGCAGAUAUUUCUUUUGUCUGUGAUAAAUAUCACUCUAUUUAGCAGCUUCUGAAUUCCUAGGCUAAAAUGCUGCUUCCACAGGAACUUCUACAGAUGAUUUUGGGUUAGACUGUCAAAUUAAGGACUCAUUCAGAGGUCCUGUCUAAGAAGACCAACAUAUUUUAUAAACAAUAUUCACUUUCCAUAAACAAUUGCUGCAUGCUUUUAUUUCCUUUUGGUUCAGGAAAAAUAAAAAACCUGACAUACUCUUUCUGAGA